GAUCAUGGGCUCAGGAUGAACGCUAGCUACAGGCUUAACACAUGCAAGUCGAGGGGCAGCAUUUCAGUUUGCUUGCAAACUGGAGAUGGCGACCGGCGCACGGGUGAGUAACACGUAUCCAACCUGCCGAUAACUCGGGGAUAGCCUUUCGAAAGAAAGAUUAAUACCCGACGGUAUAAUCAGACCGCAUGGUCUUGUUAUUAAAGAAUUUCGGUUAUCGAUAGGGAUGCGUUCCAUUAGGCAG
rnacentral:rRNA from 1 species